rnacentral:snRNA from 1 species
AUCACUUCUCGGCCUUUUGGCUAAGAUCAAGUGUAUAAAUAAUUUCUUUUUGGGAUUUUUUUUUUUUUUUGGCACCAGGGAUCGAACUCGGGACCUUGCACUUGCGAGGCAGGUGCCGGAACCAUU